GACGAACGCUGGCGGCGUGCUUAACACAUGCAAGUCGAACGGGCCUUGUCCCCUUUUUUUUGGGGGUGGGGUUAGUGGCGAACGGGUGAGUAACACGUGAGUAACCUGCCCCUCACUUCUGGAUAACCGCUUGAAAGGGCGGCUAAUACGGGGUGUUCUGGCCUGCUCGCAUGGGUGGGUUUGGAAAGAUUCGACCGGUUUUGGUUGUUUUGGUGGGGGAUGGGCUCGCGGCCUAUCAGCUUGUUGGUGGGGUGAUGGCCUGCCAAGGCUUUGACGGGUAGCCGGCCUGAGAGGGUGGGCGGUCACACUGGGACUGAGACACGGCCCAGACUCCUACGGGAGGCAGCAGUGGGGAAUAUUGCGCAAUGGGCGCAAGCCUGAUGCAGCGACGCCGCGUGAGGGAUGGAGGCCUUCGGGUUGUGAACCUCUUUCGCCAGUGAAGAAGGUCCUGCUCUUUGUGGUGGGGUUGACGGUAGCUGGGUUAAUGAAGCGCCGGCUAACUACGUG
rnacentral:rRNA from 1 species